rnacentral:rRNA from 1 species
AAAACACAGCUCUCUGCAAGUCGUAAGAGACGUAUAGGGAGUGACACCUGCCCGGUGCCGGAAGGUUAAGGAAGGAGGUUAGCCGUAAGGCGAAGCUUUCGGACCGAAGCCCCGGGUAAACGGCGGCCGUAACUAUAACGGUCCUAAGGUAGCGAAAUUCCUUGUCGGGUAAGUUCCGACCUGCACGAAUGGUGUAACGAUCUGGGCGCUGUCUCAGCCGUGAGCUCGGUGAAAUUGUAGUCUCGGUGAAGAUGCCGAGUACCCGCCACGGGACGGAAAGACCCCGUGCACCUUUACUAUAGGUUGCCAUUGGUGUUGGGUUCGGCAUGUGUAGCAUAGGCGGGAGGCGCUGAGCCGGGGACGCUAGUUCUCGGGGAGCCACCGUUGAAAUACCGCCCUUGCCGU